UACGGAGGGUGCAAGCGUUAUCCGGAUUCACUGGGUUUAAAGGGUGCGUAGGUGGGCCUGUAAGUCAGUGGUGAAAUCUCCGAGCUUAACUCGGAACGGUCAACUGAUACUGUGCGGCUAGAGUGCGGAAGGGGCAACUGGAAUUCUUGGUGUAGCGGUGAAAUGCGUAGAUAUCAAGAGGAACACCUGCGGCGAAGGCGGGUUGCUGGGCCGACACUGACGCUGAGGCGCGAAAGCUAGGGGAGCGAACGGG
rnacentral:rRNA from 1 species